GACGAACGCUGGCGGCGUGCUUAACACAUGCAAGUCGAACGGAAAGGCCCUGCUUUUGUGGGGUGCUCGAGUGGCGAACGGGUGAGUAACACGUGAGUAACCUGCACUUGACUUUGGGAUAACUUCAGGAAACUGGGGCUAAUACCGGAUAGGAGCUCCUGCUGCACGGUGGGGGUUGGAAAGUUUCGGCGGUUGGGGCUGGACUCGCGGCUUAUCAGCUUGUUGGUGGGGUAGUGGCUUACCAAGGCUUUGACGGGUAGCCGGCCUGAGAGGGUGACCGGCCACAAUGGGACUACGAUACGGCCCAGACUCCUACGGGAGGCAGCAGGGGGGAAUUUUGCACAAUAGGCGGAAGCCUGAUGCAGCAACGCCGCGUGCGUGAUGACCGCCUUCGGGUGAUAAACCGCUUUCGCCUGUGACGAAGCGUGAGUGACGGUAAUGGGUAAAAAAGCACCGGCUAACUACGUG
rnacentral:rRNA from 1 species